GACGAACGCUGGCGGCGUGCCUAAUACAUGCAAGUCGAACGCAGUGGGGACGGGUGAGUAACACGUGGGUAACCUCCCAUCAGAGGGGAUAACACUUGGAAACAGGUGCUAAACCGAUACUGAUGGAUGGAACCGCGGUGCAUUAGCUAGUUGGUGAGGUAACGGCGCACCAAGGCCACGAUGCAUAGGCGACUGGAGAGGGGCAUCUGCCAAAUGGGGACGGAGACACGGCCCAGCUUCCUAGGGGAGGCAGCAGUAGGUAAUCUUCGGCAAUGGACGAAAGUCUGACCGAGCAACGCCGCGUGAGUGAAGAGGGUUUUCGGAUGGUAAAACUCUGUUGUUAGAGAAGCGGUAUCUAACCAGAAAGCCACGGCUAACUACGUGCCAGCAGCCGCGGUAUAC
rnacentral:rRNA from 1 species